GGAAGAGGGCCAAGCAGGCAACUUGAGAGAUUCAAGUGCGCUGUUUGGCCUUUGACUUGGGGUUUUAUACGUUGGCAGGCUUGAGGGGUCUGCAUCUCUUUUUCCCUGAUUCUUCCCUUGGGGUGGGCUCUCCACACGCCCAGUGGCCUGCCAGCACUUGGGAGGUGAGGAUGCGCAGUGUGUUGACUAAAGUUGUGUGCGUGUUCACUUGAGGCAUUUUUCCCUUAUCAGUCGAACAUUUCUGGAGGAAGGUCAUAUACCAGUUAAACUCUGCCAUUUUGCCUCUUCGUGCACAUGCUUGGGCCCACUAACCCAGCUCCUGAGAUCUUACUGGGAAGCUGCUGGUCACCAGCUUUAGGUGUUUUCUAUCUACUGUGAGACUGCCGUUCCCUGGUGCCAGCUGUGACCAAUUAUUGUUUUAAAGAGACAGCUUAACAACUGCUGAGCAUUACCUGAGGGUCACCUGCCACUCCUCAUUGGGGGAUGGGGAUCUCUCCUGCUCUGCUCGUGUCUGCCUCCCUACCUGUUCUACCACUUGUGUUCCUCGUUCCCAUCAUAAUGGCCAAUAGCAGCAACCACUUGGGCUACCAAAAGAUUGCCUUAAAUAGCUAUUUUUACCGACUCUCUGUAUGCCACUUUCAAGUGGAAACAAAGACAUCCAGGUCAGAUAUCAAAUAAAAACCAAACCAGAUACCCAGUCCUAGAAUACCCAGGUCAGCAAAAAAAUGACAUAACUCCAGAAAUAGACCUGUACUUAUACUAAUUCAGACCAACUUAUUUAGACCAAGAUGCCAAGGCAAUCCAAUGGAAAAAGUAAGGCCUUUUCAAUUCAAUUGGCUGUGUAUAUGAAACAAAUGAAUCCUGACCCAUAUCACACCAUACACAGAAGUAAUUUCAAGAUAGAUGAUGGACCUAAAUGUUAGAGCUAAAAUGAUAAAGCUUUUAAAAGAAAAUAAUACAAUAUCUUCUCAAUAUUGGAAUAGGUGAAAAUUUUUUAGGAUUCAGCAUGUACUAACGAUGAAAUAAUUGAUAAAAUGGGUUUAAUAAAAAUUAAAACCAUUUUUAAGAACUCCUCACAUUGUAUACUUAAGAUCAGAGUAUUUCUCUUUGCGCAAAUUUCAAUUUUUUAAAAAACCGACUUUGAGUUAUCAUUUCUUUCUUAUAGAAUUAGCAAAAAUCUGAAAGUCUGACAACUACUUUGUGAUGGAGGCAGAGAAGCACCCCCACUAAACACACAUCACACACACGUACACACACACAUACACGCACACACAAGUACACACCCAACCACACAGUACACACACAGGUGCACACAUACAUGCAAACAGUGCAUGUGCACACAUGUACAUGCACAUACUACAUCUGCACACAUACACAUGUACAUGCACACACAUACACAUACAUGUACACACACACCCUCUCACAGGAGCUUGGUGGAGUGGUCUGCUCAUUUCAGCUUCUCUAUCUGCCUACUGGCCUGAGGUGAAGGCACAAGACUGCAACCUCUCCUAGCCUCAGCCUUCUGAACUUUAAGCCCAGGGAAUUGUCACUGCUCUUACUUCAUAGACAAGAGGAAAUCUUUUUUAAACCCAGCUUUCUUGGGGACACUACCCCAUCUGUGUGUAGCCACCAUUCUUUGCUUCCCAGUUGCCAAAAUUCUUAUGGCCACUACAGCUUUAGAUAAAAACAGACUGCAGGUAUAUACUGAUUCUUCCUGCUAAAGCGUUUAGGUGCUUCCUCACCUAAAUGCUUUCUAGACUCAGAUGGUGGACAAGCUAUCCUGUUCUGAGAAAGCUAAUGAAGGGCAGGCUAAAGGAACUGUCUUUACAUCAUUUUUUCUUUCUUCUCAAAUGUAUAUGCACAAAGGUUGAUGCUUUUCCUUUGUUGUUGUUGUUGUUGUUGUUGUUGUUGUUGUUCACAGCUCAUCGAAUGCCACUUCAGGUAAACUCAUAUAAAAUGCUCUCAUUUUAAAAAAAUAUUCUGCAGUUUUUUCAUUCUCUCUCUUUAAAAACAUGCCAAGUUGCCUCAGUAAAGAAUGCUGUUUUGUGUAUCAUGCCUGAUUGAAAAAAUUCUGCUCAACGAUGAUUGCAUGAAGAAUGGACAGUCCACCCUCUCAUCCAGAUGGCCCGAAUGGUGCCCUUGGUGUCCAUCAGACUGUCAGACUGCUGUUUACUGGGGCAGCUCCCAGGGUCUCUGCUCUUCUUUUGAGUCUGCACCACCGACAUCCUUUUCAGCUUCGAUUGGAGCUCCUGAUGCGUGCGAGCAAAGGUACGUUGACUGCUACAUCUCAUUAGCUGUGUGUUUUUUUCCCACCCCAACACUAGGACAUUUCUGCUUCAAUGACUUCUCAUCCUGAAUCUUAGCGUUGUUGCUCAUCUCUGAGAGCCAAAAGCAACUUUUACUGGGGACUCAGGACCAGGUGGUGGCUGAGGGAGCAAGCAGGGUGAAGGACAAGGAUCUUUCUGGAAACCAAAUCUGCAGGUGUCCGGGAUGAACUACCAAUGAAGGGGGAGGGAGUUCAACAUGUUUCCUAUCUCGUGAACUGUCUGCCCUUUUGUAGGAUAAAAGCUGCUGUGGAAGGAUGCCUGUUUGCAAGGAGGAAAGAGCGAGCUUCCUGCUUCCCAGGUCCCUGGCAUGCUCCCCCUGGUGGAAAGGCACUCCCUCCAAACUCUUGGAGAGGACUCAGGCUAAAAGUGGCAAGCUACUUCCAAGUUCCAGGUGACCCAUAGGCUGUGAUGUUGCCAUUAUGAAGAAAUUGCUGUGCUCAUCAACUUACUUUGAACCAAGCUGUUCUUUACCGAAUGCCCUGAAGUCAUUGGAAAGUCACACUACCUUGCUUUAAAGUGAAGAAUUAGAAUUGUUUCUCUGAAGAUGAGGGAGGUGCAUGAAGGAUGUCAGCCGUGUGUAUGCUAUUGAGAACUGGACGGGAGUGAAAGAGAGUGAUGAAGACAACAGUCUAUACAGCAUCUCCUAUUACCUGUUAGCUCAGUGCUUCAUGUGCAUUACCUCACUGAAUUCUCGCAACAGCCCAAAAAGGUCAUAAUCAUCUGGAGAGACACAUUGGCAGAGAGACUACCUUAAUACAAUGGGAGGAAGCGAUGAACAAACUGCGGUGCAUUCACACAACAGCGGUGCUACACAGCAGCGAAGAGGAGCAGCCGACUGACACGCACAACAACUCGGAUCUCAGGAGCAUCGCACCGAGCUGGAGAAGCCAGACACGAGCCGCUGCACACCGUAUGAUUCCAUGGCAUUCUGGGAAAGGCAAAACUCCAAGCACAGAGAACGCAUGAGUUGUUGCCCAGGUUUGGGGUUCCAGGAAGAGGAUGGAUUACUAAGAAGCACAGGGGAAUGUUUUGGGGUGAUGAAAAUGUUGUAUGUCUUGUCUUUUUCUUUUCUUUUUGUGAAACAGAGUUUCACUCUUGUCGUCCAGGCUGGAGAGCAAUGGUGUGAUCUCAGCUCACUGCAACCUGCACCUCCCAGGUUCAAGCAAUUCUCCAGCCUCAGCCUCUUGAAUAACUGAGAUUACAGGCACAUGCCUCCCCGCCCAGCUAAUUUUUGUAUUUUUAGUAGAGACGGGUUUUCACCAUGUUGGUCAGGCUGGUCUUGAACUCCUGACCUCAGGUGAUCCGCCCACCUCAGCCUCCCAAAGUGCUGGGAUUACAGGCAUGAGGCACCACAUUCGGCCAAAGUUCUAUGUCUGGUCACAGCCAUUUACAUUCAUCAGAAUUCACAGAACCAUCCAUCCUGAAGUGGUGAAUUUGCUGAAUAGAAAUUAUACCUCAAAGACCAGACGUUCAAAAAUGCCUUUGUGUUUUGUAAGCUUCAACACUCGCCCAGUGGGAACCACAAAAGCGUUGCCCAAUUUGUUGAAAGCAUUGCUGUUAUAACUUCAGCGUGUGGGGAGAAGUUAUGUUUUCAUACUGUCUUUGUCUGCUCUGGCCACCGUUACAAAACACCAUAGACUGGGUGGACUGAUCAACACGCAUUUCUUUCCCACAGUGGAGGCUGGAAGUCCCCAAGACCCAGGUUCCUGGGGAGGGCUUUCUUCCUAGCCUGCAGGUGACCAACAUCUGCUGUGUCCUCUUGUGACUCUUCCUCAGUUCCUGUGCCAGAGGGGUCGGGGGACAAGUGGGCGUCCAUCUUGUAAGUGUCCUCAUAAGGCCACCAUCCUGUCAAC
rnacentral:lncRNA from 10 species